rnacentral:rRNA from 1 species
GGUAAACGGGUAGGGUAAGUAGCUGGAUGCUCCAACUUGACGCAUGUCUUGUUGGGAAAGUGUUAGUGGCAUGGGAUGGGGUCGCGUCCUAUCAGCUUGUAGGCGGGGUAAUGGCCCACCUAGGCUUCGACGGGUAGCCGGCCUGAGAGGGCGGACGGCCACAUUGGGACUGAGAUACGGCCCAGACUCCUACGGGAGGCAGCAGGG